CCACUUUGUGAUUCAUGACUGGGGUGAAGUCGUAACAAGGUAACCGUAGGGGAACCUGCGGUUGGAUCACCUCCUUACCUUAAAGANACGNCACACUAUCAUUAACUGAAUCCAUAGGUUAAUGAGGCGAACCGGGGGAACUGAAACAUCUAAGUACCCCGAGGAAAAGAAAUCAACCGAGAUUCCCCCAGUAGCGGCGAGCGAACGGGGAGCAGCCCAGAGCCUGAAUCAGUGUGUGUGUUAGUGGAAGCGUCUGGAAAGGCGCGCGAUACAGGGUGACAGCCCCGUACACAAAAAUGCACAUACUGUGAGCUCGAUGAGUAGGGCGGGACACGUGGUAUCCUGUCUGAAUAUGGGGGGACCAUCCUCCAAGGCUAAAUACUCCUGACUGACCGAUAGUGAACCAGUACCGUGAGGGAAAGGCGAAAAGAACCCCGGCGAGGGGAGUGAAAAAGAACCUGAAACCGUGUACGUACAAGCAGUGGGAGCNGUGACUGNGGGCGUUAAGUUGCAGGGUAUAGACCCGAAACCCGGUGAUCUAGCCAUGGGCAGGUUGAAGGUUGGGUAACACUAACUGGAGGACCGAACCGACUAAUGUUGAAAAAUUAGCGGAUGACUUGUGGCUGGGGGUGAAAGGCCAAUCAAACCGGGAGAUAGCUGGUUCUCCCCGAAAGCUAUUUAGGUAGCGCCUCGUGAAUUCAUCUCCGGGGGUAGAGCACUGUUUCGGCAAGGGGGUCAUCCCGACUUACCAACCCGAUGCAAACUGCGAAUACCGGAGAAUGUUAUCACGGGAGACACACGGCGGGUGCUAACGUCCGUCGUGAAGAGGGAAACAACCCAGACCGCCAGCUAAGGUCCCAAAGUCAUGGUUAAGUGGGAAACGAUGUGGGAAGGCCCAGACAGCCAGGAUGUUGGCUUAGAAGCAGCCAUCAUUUAAAGAAAGCGUAAUAGCUCACUGGUCGAGUCGGCCUGCGCGGAAGAUGUAACGGGGCUAAACCAUGCACCGAAGCUGCGGCAGCGACACUGUGUGUUGUUGGGUAGGGGAGCGUUCUGUAAGCCUGUGAAGGUGUNAUGCUGGAGGUAUCAGAAGUGCGAAUGCUGACAUAAGUAACGAUAAAGCGGGUGAAAAGCCCGCUCGCCGGAAGACCAAGGGUUCCUGUCCAACGUUAAUCGGGGCAGGGUGAGUCGACCCCUAAGGCGAGGCCGAAAGGCGUAGUCGAUGGGAAACAGGUUAAUAUUCCUGUACUUGGUGUUACUGCGAAGGGGGGACGGAGAAGGCUAUGUUGGCCGGGCGACGGUUGUCCCGGUUUAAGCGUGUAGGCUGGUUUUCCAGGCAAAUCCGGAAAAUCAAGGCUGAGGCGUGAUGACGAGGCACUACGGUGCUGAAGCAACAAAUGCCCUGCUUCCAGGAAAAGCCUCUAAGCAUCAGGUAACAUCAAAUCGUACCCCAAACCGACACAGGUGGUCAGGUAGAGAAUACCAAGGCGCUUGAGAGAACUCGGGUGAAGGAACUAGGCAAAAUGGUGCCGUAACUUCGGGAGAAGGCACGCUGAUAUGUAGGUGAAGUCCCUCGCGGAUGGAGCUGAAAUCAGUCGAAGAUACCAGCUGGCUGCAACUGUUUAUUAAAAACACAGCACUGUGCAAACACGAAAGUGGACGUAUACGGUGUGACGCCUGCCCGGUGCCGGAAGGUUAAUUGAUGGGGUCAGCGCAAGCGAAGCUCUUGAUCGAAGCCCCGGUAAACGGCGGCCGUAACUAUAACGGUCCUAAGGUAGCGAAAUUCCUUGUCGGGUAAGUUCCGACCUGCACGAAUGGCGUAAUGAUGGCCAGGCUGUCUCCACCCGAGACUCAGUGAAAUUGAACUCGCUGUGAAGAUGCAGUGUACCCGCGGCAAGACGGAAAGACCCCGUGAACCUUUACUAUAGCUUGACACUGAACAUUGAGCCUUGAUGUGUAGGAUAGGUGGGAGGCUUUGAAGUGUGGACGCCAGUCUGCAUGGAGCCGACCUUGAAAUACCACCCUUUAAUGUUUGAUGUUCUAACGUGGACCCGUGAUCCGGGUUGCGGACAGUGUCUGGUGGGUAGUUUGACUGGGGCGGUCUCCUCCUAAAGAGUAACGGAGGAGCACGAAGGUUGGCUAAUCCUGGUCGGACAUCAGGAGGUUAGUGCAAUGGCAUAAGCCAGCUUGACUGCGAGCGUGACGGCGCGAGCAGGUGCGAAAGCAGGUCAUAGUGAUCCGGUGGUUCUGAAUGGAAGGGCCAUCGCUCAACGGAUAAAAGGUACUCCGGGGAUAACAGGCUGAUACCGCCCAAGAGUUCAUAUCGACGGCGGUGUUUGGCACCUCGAUGUCGGCUCAUCACAUCCUGGGGCUGAAGUAGGUCCCAAGGGUAUGGCUGUUCGCCAUUUAAAGUGGUACGCGAGCUGGGUUUAGAACGUCGUGAGACAGUUCGGUCCCUAUCUGCCGUGGGCGCUGGAGAACUGAGGGGGGCUGCUCCUAGUACGAGAGGACCGGAGUGGACGCAUCACUGGUGUUCGGGUUGUCAUGCCAAUGGCACUGCCCGGUAGCUAAAUGCGGAAGAGAUAAGUGCUGAAAGCAUCUAAGCACGAAACUUGCCCCGAGAUGAGUUCU
rnacentral:rRNA from 1 species